AGAGUUUGAUCAUGGCUCAGGACGAACGCUGGCGGCGUGCUUAACACAUGCAAGUCGAACGGAAAGGCCCUUCGGGGUACUCGAGUGGCGAACGGGUGAGUAACAUGUGGGUGAUCUGCCCUGCACUUUGGGAUAAGCCUGGGAAACUGGGUCUAAUACCGAAUAGGACCACGCGCUUCAUGGUGUGUGGUGGAAAGCUUUUGCGGUGUGGGAUGGGCCCGCGGCCUAUCAGCUUGUUGGUGGGGUAAUGGCCUACCAAGGCGACGACGGGUAGCCGGCCUGAGAGGGUGACCGGCCACACUGGGACUGAGAUACGGCCCAGACUCCUACGGGAGGCAGCAGUGGGGAAUAUUGCACAAUGGGCGCAAGCCUGAUGCAGCGACGCCGCGUGAGGGAUGACGGCCUUCGGGUUGUAAACCUCUUUCAAUAGGGACGAAGCGCAAGUGACGGUACCUAUAGAAGAAGCACCGGCCAACUACGUGCCAGCAGCCGCGGUAAUACGUAGGGUGCGAGCGUUGUCCGGAAUUACUGGGCGUAAAGAGCUCGUAGGUGGUUUGUCGCGUUGUUCGUGAAAACUCACAGCUUAACUGUGGGCGUGCGGGCGAUACGGGCAGACUAGAGUACUGCAGGGGAGACUGGAAUUCCUGGUGUAGCGGUGGAAUGCGCAGAUAUCAGGAGGAACACCGGUGGCGAAGGCGGGUCUCUGGGCAGUAACUGACGCUGAGGAGCGAAAGCGUGGGGAGCGAACAGGAUUAGAUACCCUGGUAGUCCAA
rnacentral:rRNA from 1 species